AAAAAAUUAAUCAGUCUGAUUGUGCUUGAUGAAGAGUUUGCUUAAACGCCUCUUGUUGGCGAGAAUAAAUUCUUAGAGCAACAGUAUGCCAACUUUUUGUGCUUUCUGAUUGAUUAUUUGGGUUAUUUCAUUACUUUUUCUACUUAACCAUAACUGAGAUGUAAAAAAACUGAUGCAAAAAAAAAAAAAAAAACUGGAAAAAAUAGGAAAAACUGAACUAUGUGUGGGCUGACUGUGGUAGGCUGGUCAGGUGACGGCAUUUUAAAGUAGGCUGUGAAUGUGUGUGUGUGUGUGUGUGUGUGUGUGUGUGUGUGUGUUUGUGUGUGUGGUGUGGGGGGGUGGGCUGGGCUGGGGGCCGACUUACAGAGCCGUGUAGGCUGGAAACCUUCCCUGCUCACACACGCUUACCAUGCAGCCAUGGGGGUGGAGAGAUGCUAUGUAGUUAAACCCAAGGCAGCCUGUGGAUACAACACUUCCAGCGUGACACUCUCAGAGAACGGCAAAAGCUCAGCCUCAAACACACACACACACACACACACACACAUAACAGUAGAUCUCAACAGGAUACUGCAGUUAGUCACAGGCACAUGAAAACUGGAGGAAAUGGAGUGACAAGAAAAAAGGAAGACACAAAUCACGCCGUGUCAUGUGUGCAGAGAAACAGAUUGUUCGCUAUCAGCGGUGAUGGUGCGCGGAGGAAGAAUGCGAGCAUGCAGCGAAGUCAAACAAAAGUGCCUCAGAUGAAUAUUCCUGAAACAGAACAGGAUGGACUUGCUAAAACCAAAUCACGCACUCAUCCUGCACCGCAGUUCGGAGACGUUAAUGGAGCUCUCACUCUCUCUCUCUCUGUGUGUGUGUGUGUGUGUGUGUGUUUGCGGCUCUUGAAGACGGAGGGGGAAGUCGGGGACCCCGCACAUGCAGGCAGCGCUCAACCAUCAGGAAAUACUCUUUUCACCCAGACAGAGUAA
ensembl:lncRNA